GUCGUAACAAGGUCUCCGUAGGUGAACCUGCGGAGGGAUCAUUACACAAAUAUGAAGGCGGGCUGGAAUCUCUCGGGGUUACAGCCUUGCUGAAUUAUUCACCCUUGUCUUUUGCGUACUUCUUGUUUCCUUGGUGGGUUCGCCCACCACUAGGACAAACAUAAACCUUUUGUAAUUGCAAUCAGCGUCAGUAACAAAUUAAUAAUUACAACUUUCAACAACGGAUCUCUUGGUUCUGGCAUCGAUGAAGAACGCAGCGAAAUGCGAUAAGUAGUGUGAAUUGCAGAAUUCAGUGAAUCAUCGAAUCUUUGAACGCACAUUGCGCCCUUUGGUAUUCCAAAGGGCAUGCCUGUUCGAGCGUCAUUUGUACCCUCAAGCUUUGCUUGGUGUUGGGCGUCUUGUCUCUAGCUUUGCUGGAGACUCGCCUUAAAGUAAUUGGCAGCCGGCCUACUGGUUUCGGAGCGCAGCACAAGUCGCACUCUCUAUCAGCAAAGGUCUAGCAUCCAUUAAGCCUUUUUUCAACUUUUGACCUCGGAUCAGGUAGGGAUACCCGCUGAACUUAAGCAUAUCAAUAAGCGGAG
rnacentral:rRNA from 1 species